CAGCCGCCGCGGGAACACGUAGGGUGCGAGCGUUAAUCGGAAUUACUGGGUGUAAAGCGUGCGCAGGCGGUUGUGUAAGACAGGUGUGAAAUCCCCGGGCUUAACCUGGGAACUGCGCUUGUGACUGCACAGCUAGAGUAUGGCAGAGGGGGGUGGAAUUCCACGUGUAGCAGUGAAAUGCGUAGAGAUGUGGAGGAACACCGAUGGCGAAGGCGGCCCCCUGGGCCAAUACUGACGCUCGUGCACGAAAGCGUGGGGAGCAAACAGGAUUAGAUACCCCUGUAGUCCCUGUCUCUUAUAC
rnacentral:rRNA from 1 species